AAUAACAUCCCCAUUUAGGCUCAUAGGUUUUAAAAAAGAUCCCAGCUACUUCACUACUGGAAUACUGUGGGGGGUAUUUUUAGAUUAAUUUUGGUCACUUGUUUUAGAUUUUUAUGUUGGGGGAAAGAGGGAGAAAAUCAAAAUAAGGUAAAGUAUGAGAAAAA